UUUCUCUCUCUCCCUAUCUGUCUCGUUUGCAUGGAAACAGCACCAUACUGUAUCCUGUAAAGCUGGAAAAAUACUGAAUAAUGUGAAGGUUUGAAGGCUCCUGAAUCGUUGGACAGUCCUGAUCUAUAGGGACAGACACAACAAGCAGAGGAGGAGUCUUUGUCUCUGUGUCCCGCCAGUAGGCUGUCAGAGCCUGUCCCCCCAGCACUCCUACCCCCCGCUCCCCCAGCCCCCUCCCUUGUUUGGGCCACUGUGUUCAGAGAGGGCAGAUGGCUCAUUACCAUAAAUAGGACAGCUAGAGACAGAAAGAGUGUGAGGGAGAGGGGCCACCACCCCCACACCAUCCAAGGGGACCAUGAUGCCUGCCCUGCCGCCCAAAACCCCAGGAAAUAGGAGGCCGUUGCUAGGAGACUCACGUUUCAAGGCCCCUGGAUCCCAGUACAGAUAAGAUAGAGGACCAGACGGGGGCAAUUUUCCCUGUCUGUGGAAUGCCAUUCAAGACAACCUAACACUGGAGACGCAAUAUCACAUCUGCUCAGGCUAGACCUCAUAGGUCAAUAGGGCAAAGAUAAAGAGGAAGAGAAGAGCAGAAGAACACAAGGAAGGAGAGAAAGAGGAAUAGAGAACUCAUGAAGAAUUAAUAUAGCAGGGACAAUGUGAAAAAAAUUAUUGACUUAAAAAAUGAUUUUCCUUCACUUUCAUAAACUUUCAUCACAAAAAAACAGAAUAUGUACCUGCAGCUAUUAUGUAUGAACAUGUAAUAAGGCUUGUCUUUUGUUUGAGAUGUAAAUAGAGAGCUGUUUGAUGAGUAAAGAAAGGAGAGAUGGCACAAGAAAAAAACAAGAGGGAGGGACAUGAGUGGACAGUUGACCGACCAGAAGGAAAAAGAGAAAGAAAGGACGCGUCCCAAUAAUCUCUCCUUGUCGCUGAAGUCUGCACUCGUUCACUACUCCCCACAAAUGUUUAAGUAUUAGAUUGGUGCAGGCAUGGGCUAGAGGGAGUUCCCAUAUACCGGUCAUUUUCUUUUAAAUCCAUGAAAGGAAGUGUACAAGUGUACGCUUUGGGAGAAAGGAGAGAUAGCUUCAUUCUUGUGUCAUUUAUUCCAUUUGUGUUACUAUUUUAAUUGUUCAAAAUAAAAUUUGCUCUGCAUCGUU